GGGGGUAUAGCUCAGCUGGGAGAGCGCCUGCCUUGCACGCAGGAGGCCAACGGUUCGAUCCCGUUUACCUCCACCA
rnacentral:tRNA from 3 species